AUUGAACGCUGGCGGCAGGCCUAACACAUGCAAGUCGAACGAGUGGCGGACGGGUGAGUAAUGUCUGGGAAACUGCCUGAGGGAGGGGGAUAACUACUGGAAACGGUAGCUAAUACCGCAUACCAUCGGAUGUGCCCAGAUGGGAUUAGCUAGUAGGUGGGGUAAAGGCUCACCUAGGCGGCGAUCCCUAGCUGGUCUGCGAGGAUGAACGGCAACACUGGAAGUGAGAUACGGUCCAGAUUCUUACGGGAGGCAGCAGUGGGGAAUAUUGCACAAUGGGCUCAAUCCUGAUGAAGCCAUGCCGCGUGUAUGAAGAAGGCCUUCUGGUUGUAAAGUAUUUCCAGCUGGGAGGCGUUACCCGCAGAAGAAGCACCGGCUAACUCCGUGCCAGCAGCCGCGGUAAUAC
rnacentral:rRNA from 1 species